rnacentral:misc_RNA from 1 species
GAUGAAGAACGUAGCGAAAUGCGAUACGUAAUGUGAAUUGCAGAAUUCAGUGAAUCAUCGAGUCUUUGAACGCACAUUGCGCCCCCUGGUAUUCCGGGGGGCAUGCCUGUCCGAGCGUCAUUGCUGCCCUCAAGCACGGCUUGUGUGUUGGGCCUCCGUCCUCCUCCCGGGGGACGGGCCCGAAAGGCAGCGGCGGCACCGCGUCCGGUCCUCGAGCGUAUGGGGCUUCGUCACCCGCUCUUGUAGGCCGGCCGGCGCUUGCCGACACAUCAAUCUUUUUUCCAGGUUGACCUCGGAUCAGGUAGGGAUACCCGCUGAACUUAAGCAUAUCAAUAAGCGGAGGA